rnacentral:rRNA from 1 species
UACGGAGGGUGCAAGCGUUGUCCGGAAUCACUGGGCGUAAAGGGCGCGUAGGUGGCGUCGUAAGUCUGUGGUGAAAGCCCGGAGCUCAACUCCGGGUCUGCCGCGGAUACUGCGAGGCUUGAGUGCUGUAGAGGGGGGUAGAAUGCCGGGUGUAGUGGUGGAAUGCGUAGAUAUCGGGAGGAACACCAGUGGCGAAGGCGGUUGCCUGGAGCUUUGCUGACGCUGAGGCGCGAAAGCGUGGGGAGCGAUCCGG